rnacentral:lncRNA from 1 species
GCUGCAUCUUUUGGGCCUUCGCAUCCUGCGCUGUCCAGAGAAUUUCUACAGUGUAUAGCACUGUGGCUUAUUCAGGAAUGCCGAUGGGAAGAUAAGAGAAAGGAGGAAUGAACGAGAACAGAACUAGGUGGUUUUGUGGAUGAAAGCUUUCUAUCCCCAGUGAAGAUGGGUCCAGCCUCCCCCGGCCCUUUGUUUCCGAUGCAUUCAUGUUGUCUUCUAUUCUCAGAGCC